rnacentral:rRNA from 1 species
UAAGGAAUUUUGGGCAAUGGGCGAAAGCCUGACCCAGCAACGCCGCGUGUGGGAUGAAGGCCCUCGGGUCGUAAACCACUGUCAGGAGGAACGAAUGGUCCCCGGCCAAUACCCGGGGAAGUUGACGGUACCUCCAAAGGAAGCGCCGGCUAACUCCGUGCCAGCAGCCGCGGUAAUACGGAGGGCGCGAGCGUUGUUCGGAAUCACUGGGCGUAAAGCGCGUGUAGGCGGUCCGGUAAGUCGGAUGUGAAAUCCCCGAGCUCAACUCGGGAACUGCAUCCGAAACUGUCGGUCUAGAGUCCCGGAGAGGAAGGCGGAAUUCCCAGUGUAGGGGUGAAAUCCGUAGAUAUUGGGAGGAACACCGGUGGCGAAGGCGGCCUUCUGGACGGUGACUGACGCUGAGACGCGAAAGCGUGGGGAGCAAACAGGAUUAGAUACCCCCGUAGUCC